CUCCCUUCUUUGGAAGCUUGUAUGGUGCCUUCUGAUACCAAAAAGAUAAUUCUCAGGGAGGGGCCAUUCAGUUCUCAUCCAGGAAAUUAAUUAAGAUUUUAUGAGAAGGAUGAAAUCAAAAGGGAAAGAAAGAAAGGACUCAGUGAUUCUCAGAAAUUGUUAUGGCAUCUGGAAAAAUGGAAGAAAGUAAUACUCAGAGUGAGGCUGUGGAAAAAUCCAAUCAAUCCUAUGGGUUGAGGAAUCAGCUAUUCGAGGAGAGAAAACCACUCAGCCAGAGUUCAAAGCACACGCUUUUCCUACCAAAUGAAAAGGAUGUACUUCAUUUAGUGUAAAAGAAGAUUAAAGACAACAUGGUAAACAUGUUAAACACAACUGGAGUUCUCUACCCCUCCAAAGACUGAGAA